CAGGUUUCUGGGAACUGAUGUUGCGGCUUUACAAAGGUAGAGAGAUUUCUACAAGCUGGAUGAAUAACAUCAGGGUUGCCAGGUGGUGUCCAUGCCCUGUAUGAAAUGGCUGACGCAAGGACAGUCCCACAUCAGCAACUGAAAAUGCCUACAAAAGAAGUCAACCUCGACUCUUGGUCUUCCUAUGUCAAAGCCUUGUUGAACAAGCUGGAUGUAGGUCAGUAGGUAUGGA